rnacentral:rRNA from 1 species
GACGGGGGGGGCAAGUGUUCUUCGGAAUGACUGGGCGUAAAGGGCACGUAGGCGGUGAAUCGGGUUGAAAGUGAAAGUCGCCAAAAAGUGGCGGAAUGCUCUCGAAACCAAUUCACUUGAGUGAGACAGAGGAGAGUGGAAUUUCGUGUGUAGGGGUGAAAUGCGCAGAUAUCAGGAGGAACACCAAUGGCGAAGGCAGCUCGCUGGGACGUGACUGACGCUGAGACGCGAAAGCGUGGGGAGCAAACAGG